GCGGUAAUUCAAGCUCCAAUAGCGUAUAUGUAAAUUGUUGCGGUUGAAAAGCUCGUAGUUGGACUUCUGGCGACCGCGCUCGGUCCGCCGUGCGCGAGCACUGUCCGCGGUCGUCGUCUCUGUCGACGUGGCGCGCCGGACUUCACUGGCCGGCGCGUCGUCUGUCGGCGACGUUACUUUGAGGAAAUCAGAGUGCUCAAAGCAAGCGUUCGCUCGUGACUUCACUAGCAUGGAAUAACACAGAUGGGCUCUUUCUCGCACCGUUGGUCUGCGUCAAUUGAGCAACGAUCGAUAGAGACGGUCGGGGGCAUUCGUAUUGCGCAGUUAGAGGUGAAAUUCUCCGAUCUGCGCAAGACGCACUAAUGCGAAAGCAGUUGCCAAGGACGUCCUCUUAUGAUCAAGAGCGAAAGUCGGGGGAUCAAAGAUGAUUAGAUACCGUCGUAGUCCCGACCAUAAAUGAUGCCGACUGAGCUUCGGCGACUCGACCACAGGUCGUACGUCGGCGCUCUUAGAGAAAUUAAAGUCUUUGGGCUCCGGGGGUAGUAUGGUCGCAAGUCUGAAACUUGAAGGAAUUGACGGAAGGGCAACACAAGGCGUGGAUGUUGCGGCUUAAUUUGACUCAACACGGGAAAGCUUACUAGGUUUGGACACCUUUGUGAUGGACAGAUUGAAGCUCUUACCCUACUGCGUGGAUGGUGGUGCAUGGUCGUUCUCAGCCCGUGGGUUGACCUGUCAGGUUUACUCCGGUAACGCGCGAGACCUCGGUCUGCUAAAUAGACGCGGCUGUCUCGGCACCCGCGCUCUUCUUAGAGAGAGACUCGACGAGAGUCGAGGGAAGUCGAGGCAAUAACAGAUCUGUGAUGCCCUUAGUUAUCCUAGGUCGCACGCGCCAUACAAUGUGGCGCACAACGAGUCUCCUUGGCCGACAGGAUCUGGGCAAUCUGGCAGAGCGCUACGUGACUGGGCUAGACUUUUGUAAUUUUUGGUCUUGAACGAGGAAUGCCUAGUAAUCGCAGGUCAGCAUCCUGCGAUGAUUCGGUCCCUGCCCUUUGUACACACCGCCCGUCGCUCCAUCCGUGGCAUGCGCCGUUGAAGAGGGGGAGGCAGCGUCGGCCGUGUAACACCGGAUCGUACGUGGAACCCCUCUGAACCUUCGCACGUAGAGGAAGGAGAAGUCGUAACAAGGUUUUCGUAGGUGAACCUGCGAAAGGAUCAUUAUCGGCACA
rnacentral:rRNA from 1 species